UACGAAGGGGGCUAGCGUUGCUCGGAAUCACUGGGCGUAAAGCGCGCGUAGGCGGAUCGUUAAGUCGGGGGUGAAAUCCUGGAGCUCAACUCCAGAACUGCCUUUGAUACUGGCGAUCUUGAGUCCGGGAGAGGUGAGUGGAACUCCGAGUGUAGAGGUGAAAAUUCGUAGAUAUUGGGAAGAACACCAGUGGCGAAGGCGGCUCACUGGCCCGUAACUGACGCUGAGGUGCGAAAGCGUGGGGGAGCAAACAGG
rnacentral:rRNA from 1 species